rnacentral:rRNA from 1 species
UACGUAGGGUGCGAGCGUUAAUCGGAAUUACUGGGCGUAAAGCGUGCGCAGGCGGUUUUGUAAGCCAGAUGUGAAAUCCCCGGGCUUAACCUGGGAAUGGCAUUUGGGACUGCAAGGCUGGAGUGUGGCAGAGGGGGGUGGAAUUCCACGUGUAGCAGUGAAAUGCGUAGAGAUGUGGAGGAACACCGAUGGCGAAGGCAGCCCCCUGGGUUAACACUGACGCUCAGGCACGAAAGCGUGGGGAGCAAACAGG